CUCGUAGGCGGUUCGUCGCGUCCGGUGUGAAAGUCCAUCGCUUAACGGUGGAUCCGCGCCGGGUACGGGCGGGCUUGAGUGCGGUAGGGGAGACUGGAAUUCCCGGUGUAACGGUGGAACGUGUAGAUAUCGGGAAGAACACCAAUGGCGAAGGCAGGUCUCUGGGCCGUCACUGACGCUGAGGAGCGAAAGCGUGGGGAGCGAACA
rnacentral:rRNA from 1 species